rnacentral:tRNA from 1 species
UCCGUGUAGUGGCUAACAGCGUCGUCUCUCACACGACAGUCGGGGGUUCAAUUCCCCCUAUUGGAG